rfam:Heterocephalus glaber contig72697, whole genome shotgun sequence.
GGAUGUGAGGGCGAUCUGGCUGGAACAUCUGUUACCCCAUUGAUUGCCAGGGUUGAUUCCACUGAUCUGGUUGGCUAGGCGGGGGUCCCCUUCCUCCCUCACUGCUCUGUGAGCAUCAACGAGGACAACUUCCCAUGACAGAGAUAGAGGAGGACCUUUGCCUCCAUUAAAGCUAUAUGAGUAGCCGUGCUCCUCUGCUAGAACCUCCAAACAAGCUCUCGAGGAUUCCCUGGGUUGUUCAGUAAGAUCAGGUAAAUAAAGAAAUAAGAUCACAUAAGUAAAGAAGACAUG